UACGUAGGGUGCGAGCGUUGUCCGGAUUUAUUGGGCGUAAAGCGCUCGCAGGUGGUUCAUUGCGUCGUGCGUGAAAGACCCCGGCUCAACUGGGGAGGGUCGUGCGAAACGGGUGAACUAGAGGCCAGUAGGGGGAUGCGGAAUUCCGGGUGUAGUGGUGGAAUGCGUAGAGAUCCGGAGGAACACCAGCGGCGAAGGCGGCAUCCUGGACUGGUCCUGACACUCAGGAGCGAAAGCGUGGGGAGCGAUCCGG
rnacentral:rRNA from 1 species